AGUUCAUAUUGGGGACAUCUUCUAAGCAAAUCCUUAAACCACUCCUAUGCAGCACACAUAUAUUCCCCGUACUGUUGGGUGAAGUUGGUGAUCUCAUUCACCAUUUGAUUGU